CAAAGUGUUCGGGGGACGGGUGGCCAGUACGGCCGAGGGAGGGAGGGAGUGGUGAGGGCGGCUGGGGCCUGGGCAUGCAUGGCCUAUCGUCCCAGUUUGCGGAGUUUGGACUCUACUCCAAAAGCGGCAGGAAGCCAGCGAUAUGCUUUUAACUGGGGAGUAACAUAGCGGUCUGUGUGUGCACGUGUGUGCCUGCCUCUGUGCACGUGUGCCUGCUCUGGCUACAUCUGGGGAGUGAAUGGGAGGAGGCCGUAGUGGAAAACAUAGUCCCCCCCCCCCCCCCCCCCCCGCCGCCGCCACAGGCUAGUGUCCCAGUCCAGGUGAAAAUAGAGCCCCCAGCUACAGAUAGGCAGGUUGCUCAUUGUUCAAGAGCAUCCGGGCAAGGAGGACUCAUCGGAACAGAAAUAGAGCCCUACUCCACUCACCAAGCCGUGAGCCCGGACACAGACCUGAGUCUGGCCAAAGGUGAAGGGGGAGCUUUUUCUUAUUUGCUCAAAGGCGGCACUGCCCACUGGACUGUCCAUAUCCAGUGGACUGCUGUCUGUAUGAAAGGGGUAUCUUCCUUGUUCUGUGUUCACUAAGGAGCCACGUGGGCUAACAGAGGCCCUACAAGAGUGAGUGGUGGCUUGGAACAGAGUGCGGCGAUCCAGAUGGUAAGAACCCACCUGUAGUGCAUUUUGUGGACAGAAAUAUCAGGAGUUUGUAAUGACCCAAAUGGGAAUGAGGACGAGGAAGGGGUCAGAGAUGACAGCCACAUUUCUGGCAAGAACCUCUGGGGGAUGCAGGAGAGACAGACUUGGUGCCCCUAGUGGUACCAUCCUGAAUGAAGCCUUCUGGUCAGAAACCAGAGGCUGGCAGCUAGGGCCCAGGCCUAGUGGAUGGAGACUGCUGACAGGUCUUUGGCACCCAGCAAGGUCACAAGGGUAAAGUUUAACAUGAAAUCUGAGGGGUGAGCCAUGGGUAUUUGCUACAUUGGUUUCAUACAUUUUAAUAUUUAAACAUUUCAGUGUUAAGCAGAAUUUGAACUAGGAAUCCAAAGGGGCUCCAAAGUACAGUUGAGUUUUCCCAGCAAGUCUACUAUUAACCAGUCAAAAACCUAACAGUCAAGCUGAGGGACCAGAGGUCUGUGAUCUGUCCCCAUGCUCUCCUUCCUUGUAUUCUCACUGGGUUCUGUGGCCUCCUCAAAACCCAGUGGGUUGGUCUCCAGGUUUUUCAUCUUUCCUCACAGCCAUGAACAAUGAUAAUGUGAGGAUAUAUUGACAUUAAAAAAAAAGACUAUAAAACAGUAGGUUUUAACUCAUUUUUGGAAAACCAUAACUUGAAACUAAUGUAUAGAUGCAAGCAUGCAAAGAGAAAAGUCUGAGUGAUCAUACCAAAUGAUGGCAGCAUCUGGAUGGAGGACUUAUGGGUCAUUCUCUGUGCAAAUGAUGGAACCUCAGGUGUGGUGAGACUCCAGGCUCUGGCCUUCAGAUGGUGAAACAGAGGCAUGGGAAUCUACCUGGCUCUGCCUCAGCUGGAUCUGAGAAUCUAAAGGCACUUAGCUAAGAUCAUGAACUCCCAAAGGAACUGCCAUACUGCUGUCCAAAGUGGCUGAACUGUUCUACUUUUCCACCAGCAACGAGUCCUAUUUUAUUCUCCUGUCUGCCUCAGCACUACUGGCUGGUACAUAAAGAGAAAUCAGAUGCCUGGCACUGUGAGGAAUCUCUUUUCCUAGGCUCUGUUUGAUAUUCAUGACAAUCUAAGAACUAAGGGCUCCCCGUAACCCAGUGUCAGACCAAUGCCAUGAACUUCUACUGAGAACUCAUUAUUUAGAGAAGAUGAGUGGAAGAAAAUCGUGGCAAGUCCUUUCAAGGGGAAAGAAGUAGUCUCCUGCGGGUCACCUACUUGGCCAAACCUAAGCAGAAGCCAAGGAGAAGAGUCCUCUUGCUGCCAUAUAGGUCCGCCUCCCAGAACAGGGGUAUUGGAAGGAUUGAUCUACAGGGGAACAUGGAAGGUUAGUUGCAGAAAGGACUAUAAAAACAUCACUAACAGGCAAAUUUGAUGAAUACAAACUUCAUUCUGAGACCAACCAGACUAGGUUAUGCUUAUAUUGUGAUGUGAGUGCAGAGUGGUUGCCAUUAGUAAACCAGAGCAGGGAAGUGGCUGCAGUAGGUAGGGCAGAAGGGCACCUUUCUGCUCUGAAAGUUCUCUAAUGAGUACAACUGCUCAUCCCCAAGAAUUCUACUUUAGAGAAACUAUCCAAAAGAAAAACAUGUACAAAGAUUUAUUGCAAAAGUGAAACAUUGAAAGCAGUAUAAUGUGUAAGAAGAGACUAGGUAUGUUACAUGUACCUUGUCAAUACAAAGAAAGUGAGUGACGGCAUGGGGCAUGGGAGGAGCCAUGCCACAGAGGUGUUCAGAGCAUGGGGCCUGGGGUUAUUGGGAUCAGACUAUUAGUCCCAGGCAGCUGAAACGCUCUGUCAGGGAAAGAGAUGCCUUUGUAAUGGAGACGUCUGGGGAAGGCACCGCCUUAACCAAGGGAUCAAACUUUUAUCACUAAUGAUGGGGCCAACGGACAUUGCGUGGUGACACGCAAUGGCAAGGACCCAAGAUUACUUCCAAAAAUAUUUAAGCUGAUGUAAAUCAUGAACAAAUCCAGAUAGUGUGGAAUUCUGAAAGGUGCUCUUCAAAAAAUGUCAACAUUACUCUUAAAAGGUUUGCUGUAGAUGAAAGGAGAUAUAACAACUAAACACUGUAUGCUGGAGUGCCAGGUCUGUAACUUACAUUCAGAUCAUUCAGCAAGUGUGUGUGUGUGUGUUUUGUACACACCUGAGCACAGACAGGCAGAUAGGAG